UCACAAAAGAGAAAAAAUUGAAGUGCAGUUCACAGAAUUUGUAUUCCACCGGACAAUAAAUUUUCCAUUUGUAAUAUUAGACCGUUGGAUUGUGCUUAAAUUUGGCGAGCUUGGUGUAUAUUACCAUUACUAGACCUAAUAUUGCUUAUAUUGUGCAUGUAAUUAGUCAGUUUAUUGCUUCUUCUACUACAAUUCAUUGGGCCAUUGUUCUUUGUAUCCUUGGCUAUCUAUCUUUUGGGCACUCAACUUCAAAGCUUUCUGUUUUUCUCAUCUUCCUUGGAAUUGCGUGCUUAUACUAAUGUAGAUUGGGGGUGUUGAUUCCAUUCAUCCUAAGUCUACCACAAAGCUUUGCAUGCUUUGGGAGGAUUAUCUUAUUUAUGGCAAGAGUAAGAAGCAAAUAAUUAUAUUUAGAUCUUUUAAAGUUGAGUACUGAAUCAUGACAUCUAUUAUUGUAAAAAUAAUUUUGAUAAGAUGAUUAUUUGAAUAUACGAAUGUUUCACUCUUUACACUAAUUCAUAUGUAUUGUGAUAAUAUAAGUGUCAUACAAAUCACCCGUAUGCAUACACAAAACAUAUUGAGAUUAAUUGUUAAAUUACUUUCUUUAAA
rnacentral:lncRNA from 1 species